AUAGAAAGUGCCCUGCUUUGAGAAACACGUUCCCUUUUGUCGUGUACCCGUCCCUGCAGGGCAGCAGGAGCCCUGGCGCAGGCAGUCGGGGCUCAGCAGCGCUCUCCAGCCCUGAGAUGCGUUUUGGGCAUGUUCCCUGCUUGCCUGCAUUCCCUGCUCUCUCGUGCUUCUGUUGUCUGGAAUUUUCCCCCAUUACUGUGCGCUUGGGGGAGGAAUGUGGAAGCUGUAGCACACUGCUCUGCCUGGAGAAGUGCAGCCUUUCUCGGAUUGCUGCCAGCAGUCAAUGCCUGCAGGGCACUGGCCUUCUCUCCUCCAGAAAAACUCUUGGUCCCGCUUUUCUCCCUCCCCGCUCACUGCUCAGGAUACUCUCUGGAUCUUCAUCUCACUUGCUAAAAUUAGGUGUCCACUGCCAUGGCUGUGUUCACCACCUUCCGUGGUCUCUCAUUUUUUGUCAGCUGUGCUUGAAGAUCUGACACUGCUGAAAGUGUUGGAACGGGGAAAAGUGGAGGAGAUGAGCAUCCUUUAAUCAGUGGGCAACUGUGGCAAGAGGGGACAGGCAAUAAUGGAGAAAAGAAAUCAGAAAAAUAACUGUGCUUUUAAUGUGUCUGUGGAAGGGAAGCGUGAUACACGGGCACACUGCUUCAUUUAUUAUGCACAAGAUACAGCAUGCUGAGCUGCUAAUGAGAUCGCAAUUUGGAGGUUUGGGAAGUGCUGGCUGUGCUCAUGCCUGCAAGAAUCAAUGACAACCAAGGAGUGAAGUUUCACAAGGCAUCCGAGUGAGAAUUAGGGAAACUGCUGUGCCCGGAUGAGACGGCGGGGUCAGGCGGCAGAGCCCCCGUGCCUCACAAAGCUCAACACUGUGAAAUGUGCGUUCAGUGCCUGCCAAACUGAGCAAAGAGGGACUGGAAACGACCACGGGGUGGAACCCCCGUGUUCCACGUUGACUUGGCUUGGUGCAUGCAGCACCGGACAGAGCGACAGAUGGAGAUGGGUGGGAAAAACACAAAUGGAAAAUUGUGAGCGGAGGAGAAAAUACCUCACGCAAUCCUGAGUAACUUCCCUGAAGAAGGAAAGAAUGAACGUGCUUUGAGUACAAAGGCAGAGAGACACAGCUUCCCUGCUUCCCCUGAUGCAAAAAUGCCUAACCGUUCUCAUUUCCGAGUCGGAACUUCAUAAAUACUUGAAUUUCUCAAGUUCCCACUGUUUAAUGUUUGCGUUCCAAGAAAAUUUGUGUGAACAUCGCCUUGCAUGAAACGCUCUCCAAACAAACUUUGGCAUCUGUGACUGCUCGCCCCGCUGUGGAAUAAAGCCGGUGUGAUCUGACUUGCUCUGUCUGUU
rnacentral:lncRNA from 1 species